rnacentral:rRNA from 1 species
UACGUAGGGUGCAAGCGUUUGUCCGGAAUUAUUGGGCGUAAAGAGCCUGUAGGCGGUUUGUCGCGUCUGCUGUGAAAUUUCGGGGCUCAACCCCGAACUUGCAGUGGGUACGGGCAGACUAGAGUGUGGUAGGGGAGACUGGAAUUCCUGGUGUAGCGGUGAAAUGCGCAGAUAUCAGGAGGAACACCGGUGGCGAAGGCGGAUCUCUGGGCCUGUACUGACGCUCGAUGCACGAAAGCGUGGGGAGCAAACAGG